GAUGAACGCUGGCGGCGUGCCUAAUACAUGCAAGUCGAGCGAACGGACGAGAAGCUUGCUUCUCUGAUGUUAGCGGCGGACGGGUGAGUAACACGUGGAUAACCUACCUAUAAGACUGGGAUAACUUCGGGAAACCGUAGCUAAUACCGGAUAAUAUUUUGAACCGCAUGGUUCAAAAGUGAAAGACGGUCUUGCUGUCACUUAUAGAUGGAUCCGCGCUGCAUUAGCUAGUUGGUAAGGUAACGGCUUACCAAGGCAACGAUGCAUAGCCGACCUGAGAGGGUGAUCGCCCACCCUGGAACGGAGACAGGGUCAAUACGCCUACGGGAGGCAGCAGUAGGGAAUCUGCCGCAAUGGGCGAAAGCCUGACGGAGCAACGCCGCGUGAGUGAUGAAGGUCUUCGGAUCGUAAAACUCGGUUAUUAGGGAAGAACAGAUGUGUAAGGAAAUGUGCACAUCGUGACGGUACCUAAUCAGAAAGCCACGGCUAACUACGUG
rnacentral:rRNA from 1 species